CGCUGAAAGAUAAAUCUGUUUAAGAUUAGGUUGUUGGUAAUUUAAAAGCUUACCAAGCCGAUGAUCUUUAGUUGGUCUGAGAGGAUGAUCAACCACACUGGAACUGAAAUAAGGUCCAGGCUAAUACGUUGGCCAGCAGUGGGGGAUAUUGGACAAUGAACGAAAGUUUGAUCCAGCAAUACUAACUGGGUGAUGACGGCUUAUUGAAGUUGUAAGAUCCUUUAAUUAAAGAAGAUAAUGACAUUAUUUAAUUGAAUUAGUCCUGGCUAAUACUCGUGCCAGCAGCCGCGGUAAUACGGGAAGGGCAAGCGUUAUCCGGCAUGACUGGGCGUAAAGAGUCCGUAGACUGUAAAAUAAGUUUUUUGUUAAAUUUUAAGACCUAAUCUUAACAUAGCAACUAAUACUAUUUUACUAUGAGUCUAAUACAGAAAAGUAGAAUUUUAUACGAUAGAGGUGAAAUUUGCAGAUAUAUAAAGGAAUGCCAAAAGCGAAGGCAACUUUUUGGUAUAGACUGACGUUGAGGGACGAAAGCGUGGGUAGCAAACGGGAUUAGAGACCCCGGUAGUCCACGCCGUAAAUUCUGAGUGCUGUAAUUUAAUUGUAAUAUUUUUUAAAUAUUAUUUAGAUUUUCAAGCUAACGCAAUAAGCACUCCGCCUGAAAAGUACGAUCGCAAGAUUGGAACUCAAAGGAAUUGACGGGGGUCUAACACUGGUGGUGGAGCAUGUGGUUUAAUGCGAUAAUCCGCGCAAUACCUUACCAAUUCUUGACAUAAUUUUAUAAUUUUGCUUAAUCUUAUUUUGUAUAGUUUAAUUAUUUAUUACAGGUGUUGCACGACUGUCGUCAGCUCGUGUCGUGAGAUGUUUGGUUAAGUCCUGAAACGGGCGUAACUCUUACUUUUA
rnacentral:rRNA from 1 species